GGAUAUUUAUUUUCACUUAGAAAUUUUUUUUUGGUGCUCCCCGGUAAGAAAAGGGAAAAGUUUAUAUAGAGCUGAGGCUCUAAACGAGCAUAUUUGAGCUUACUUCAAAAUUUUUAAUAGAAAAGGUUGUUUUGAUGCCCAAAUAUCUUCCAAUUGAUCAUCAAAAUGCAUGGACACGAGUUCAAAAUUUUCAUUAGAAAAGGUUGUUUUGAUGCCCAAAUAUCUUCCAAUUGAUCAUCAAAAUGCAUGGACACGAGCUCAAAAUUUUCAUUAGAAAAGGUUGUUUUGAUGCCCAAAUAUCUUCCAAUUGAUCAUCAAAAUGCAUGGACACGAGCUCAAAAUUUUCAUUAGAAAAGGUUGUUUUGUUGCCCAAAUAUCUUCAAAUUGAUCAUCAAAAUGCCUGGACACGAGAAAAAAAUAGAUUUCAAGUUUUGAAAAUAGUGUAUUUUGCAAUACAUUUCAAGAUCGUCAAUUUUCAACAUUUUCAAGUUUUCAAAGAUAUGUCGAUCUACAUUUUUUUUUAAUCCUUAAGAUUUCUAAAUAAAUAUGAAAAUAUAUUUUAAGGCUAUCACAAGUAUUUCCGGUAUUGAAACCACAUUUCUCAAUACUAUUUGAAGGUAGGUUCUAAUUUGAUUGUUUAGAGCCUAUGCUCUAUACAAACCACACCCAUAAGAAAAUGGGACAUCCUAAAUUUCAGUCGAAAAUCUUUUGUAGAGAAAGAGAACUAAAAUUCAAGGAGCAUUUUGGCAUAUUGCAUCGUUUUCACUCAAAAAGUUUUGUAGCAAAAAAAAACUAAAAAAACAAGCAACGAUUUAAUCCUAGCCAUUAAGUAAGAUUGAGUGGCUAAGAAAUAGGGUCACCUAUAAUUUAUAUGUGAGUAGGGUCGCCUAAAAAGCUUUCCCAUUGAGGAAAAUUUAAGGUGUCAACCUCAUACCACUGAAGUAAAAUUAUGUCGAAGUAAGGUCCACCAGCAAAGUCUUGUG
rnacentral:lncRNA from 1 species